rnacentral:snRNA from 1 species
UCACUUCAGCAUUGUAUCUACUAAAAUUGGGAUGAUACAGAGAGGAUUAGCAUGGCCGCUGCCCAAGAAUGACCAUGUCAAUUUGUGAAGCAUUCCUUAUUUUU